CCACUUCCAUCUUGGCCUCCAGUUCCACGGGCACGUCCUGCUCGCAACUCUCCUGAGCCCCAAACUCCUCCAACACCUGAACACCCAAUGAGGGAGAUUCCCAGAUGAGGGGUGACCAAUGUCCCGUGGAAGGACACGGCAAAAAAGACGAGAAUAAGAAGAGCGAAACAACGCUGCACGUGCCUUCCAAGCACAUGACAUCAGCACCAUGGAAAUAGUGGGCGGCGUGCCGAGCAGCUGGGGGAUGGCGCUUCAACGGCGACGGACCGCCGCCAGCAUCAGAUCCCUCUGUCUGGCCAAAGCACAAAGCGGCCAGAGGAGGAAAAGGCCGGGCUGCGUUUUCUUGAGGAACAGGCGGCUGCUUGUUGGCACGUCCAAGGAAAACAAAUCGCGCAAUGUUUGCAGAGGGCGGAGCGCCACAACGGAGGAAAUUCGCCCCGCCUCAAUGAAUCAUCAAUGAAUGCCAUCAAGGCGUGAGUCGACCUUCGGAGCUCGUAUUACAAGUGGGACGUAAGUCACGUAUUUACAGCAUCAACGCGUUUGCUUUAGGGCCAAGAUAAAAAAGCAGGCUUGCUCUGUCAUCUAAUACAGUGGAGCCUCAGUUUUUGACCGCAAUCCGUUCCAGA